UACGUAGGGGGCAAGCGUUGUCCGGAUUUAUUGGGCGUAAAGAGCGUGUAGGCGGCCAUACAGGUCAGCUGUGAAAACUCGAGGCUCAACCUCGAGACGUCGGUUGAAACCGUAUGGCUAGAGUCCGGAAGAGGAGAGUGGAAUUCCCGGGUGUAGCGGUGAAAUGCGCAGAUAUCAGGAGGAACACCGGUGGCGAAGGCGGGUCUCUGGGCCGAUACUGACGCUGGAGGAAGCGAAAGCGUGGGAGCGAACAGG
rnacentral:rRNA from 1 species